rnacentral:lncRNA from 1 species
CAUAAUUACAAAGGUGCAUGGUAGUGCCUAAAAGUAUUGAAGGUAUGUGCAUCUUAUGAGUUUAUACAGAUUCUUAACAUGUAACGUAUUAAAGGGUACUUAUCAAAUUACAUUUAAUUGAGAAUGUAAAUGGGGAAUGUGUCAAAGAGACAAAAACCCAACCAAAUUGCACACAUCAGCUGAAGGCCACCAAUGGUUCUUUAAAGAAACUCCGCACCCGGAGGCGUGCUUCAGCUGGCCCCUAAACAAAAAUGUAUACUUGCUCAGUGAUAAGAUGUAUUACACCAAUUUGGACAGGGUUUUUUUACCUAUGUUUAUUUAUAAUCCAGACAAGUUUCUAUUUUGUGUGUAUUUUGUAGAUGUAUUCUUAGUUAUUCUUUAGUUACUUAACUUAAUUUUGAAUCCAUAUUGAAUCAUAGAAAAAUGGGUUUUAAACCACC